rnacentral:lncRNA from 1 species
CUUAAUGCGUGUAAUUUUAUGAGCCUGUUUGAAAUAGAGCUGAAAGUAGUAUCAGGUUUCUUUCUAUUUGACCAACAAGUGUUAGUUUAAGAUAUUUCUAACUAGAUUAACUGUUCUUUUGGAUUGCAAAACCUUCUGGAUGUAAUCCAACUUUGGCUCUACAUUAAUGUGUACGUAGUAAUGAUGGGUGAUGAGAUGGUGAUUUAUCGCCAAGGCAAGUGAAGUUGCUCUAGAGCAAAGUGGGAUAGGACACUCCCUGAUUGGAGGGGUUUUUUUAGAAGGGGGUGGGGGGUUGAUUAAUGGUUAACUUAGUAGAUCUGAAUAUUUUUAUUAUACAAGUGUUUUUUGGCUUGGUCAUUCCAUGAAUACUUGUUGGGGUUACAGUGAACAACAUGAACAAAAUCUUUUGUUGGUUUGAAAUGUGUUGUAACUCCUUUAGUGUUACAGGCUCACUAGUUAUUUCACAUUGCAUGUUCACCUGUCCAGAAAAUAAUGUUACUGAUUUAUGAUGCAGCGGGAAUGAUUUCAAGGUCCCAAGUUCAUGCAACGUUUCCAGCCAUGAUAAUGCGUUGCAGCCUUCUUUUUGAUGUUUCGAUCUGUAUAACGAGAUCUGAGCGCUGCUUUGGCAGCACAGCUGUAGUAGUGAACACUUUCCAGAUUCUAUAGUAUUGCCUUGUUGGUCCUCCAUUUAAGUUCUGCAUUUUUGGCUCUUCAUUCUGGAUAUCAAGGAAGUGUAUAAUCAUAUAGCAAGUCAGAAGGUCC